CGCGCCCGAGAGUUCACAUCGACGGCGCGGUUUGGCACCUCGAUGUCGGCUUAUCACAUCCUGGGGCUGGAGCAGGUCCCAAGGGUCCGGCUGUUCGCCGGUUAAAGUGGUACAUGAGCUGGGUUCAAAACGUCGUGAGACAGUUUGGUCUGUAUCCGCUGCGGGCGUUGGAGAGUUGAGGGGUGCGGACUCUAGUACGAGAGGACCGAGUCGGACAGUCCGCUCGUGUACCGGCUGUGACGCCAGUUGCAGCGCCGGGUAGCGAUGACUGGUGGCGAGAACCGCUGAACGCAUCUAAGUGGGAAAUGCCCCCCAAGAUGAACUCUCCCUCCUUCUUAAGAAGGCACAAGGGCCGGGGAAGACUACCCCGUCGAAUGGCCGCACGUGGAAGUGGAGCAAUUCAUUCCAAGCGAAGCGGUCCAUAUCGCCCGAGAGGCUUGACUCC
rnacentral:rRNA from 1 species